UAGUCAUAUGCUUGUCUUAAAGACUAAGCCAUGCAUGUCUAAGUAUAAAUAAUAUACAGUGAAACUGCGAAUGGCUCAUUAAAACAGUUAUAGUUUAUUCGAUAAUCUUUCUACAUGGAUAACCGUAGUAAUUCUAGAGCUAAUACAUGCUGCUAAACCUGACUUCUGGAAGGGUUGUAUUUAUUAGAUAUAAACCAAUGCCCUCGGGCGUUGUGAUGAUUCAUAAUAACUGAGCGAAUCGAGGCCGUGCCUUGAUGGAUCGUUCAAGUUUCUGCC
rnacentral:rRNA from 1 species